CAGUUACUAAGAGCACCAUAAGCAGCGAUGCCCUGCUGGUCCUUGAAAAGCAGGGAGGUGACGACGGGGAGAGGAAGACUGGCGCGGCCAUUCUUGAACUGGAGGAGGACUUUCUGUCUUCCGAAGGCGUGUCCAAAGAGGAUCGGGAGGCACUGUCUCCAGAGGACGAUGCCUUUGAUGAGAAUGACUAUAACAGGCUUUUGGAUGUUGAGGCAGAAGGCAAUGACAAUUCUGAUGAUCCUAACCAGCAUUUGGAAGGUACCUAUGAUGCCUCCAAGGUGCCAGAGCACAGUGACACUGAGAACUAUGAGGGGGCUGGGGAGCCUGGUCACUUCGAAGAGGCGGAUGAGUGGAGGGCUCUGUCUGCAGAGGAAGCCGGUGGUAACUGAAGAUGCAGUUCUGUCUAGUUAUUGGAUUAUCAUGACUGCUAAAUAAAGGUGUUGACAUUUUUGUAUA